rnacentral:rRNA from 1 species
ACGAACGCUGGCGGCAGGCCUAACACAUGCAAGUCGAGCGCCCGUAGCAAUACGGGAGCGGCAGACGGGUGAGUAACGCGUGGGAACGUGCCCAAAGGUACGGAACAACUCCGGGAAACUGGAGCUAAUACCGUAUGUGCCCGAAAGGGGAAAGAUUUAUCGCCUUUGGAUCGGCCCGCGUCUGAUUAGCUAGUUGGUGAGGUAAUGGCUCACCAAGGCGACGAUCAGUAGCUGGUCUGAGAGGAUGAUCAGCCACACUGGGACUGAGACACGGCCCAGACUCCUACGGGAGGCAGCAGUGGGGAAUAUUGGACAAUGGGCGCAAGCCUGAUCCAGCCAUGCCGCGUGAGUGAUGAAGGCCCUAGGGUUGUAAAGCUCUUUCGGCGGGGACGAUAAUGACGGUACCCGCAGAAGAAGCCCCGGCUAACUUCGUGCCAGCCGCCGCGGUAA